AGACAAAAAUUGAAUAAUAGAGACUGAGGACAGCGAGAGGAGGGAGGAGCAGCCCUGGAUCAUAGCACGAGCAGGGGAUCGACAUUGUUCUCGCGACACGCCAAACUCAGGACAACCCACAGGUGGCAGUGAAAGAUGUAAUUUCGUGUUGAGAGGAAGAAACAGCGGCUGCAUCACAUGUGUUUGCCAACAACAUGAAAUCCCGAAGCUGUGCUCUCUACACCGAGCGCUGACAGAUGGGCUGACCUUUGUUUGAACUCUGCAUCUUGGCGAUAUCCUGGCAGACCGAAGCUUGGAGUGGAGUGGAGUGGAGUGGAGUGGAGUGGAGUGCCUUGAAGGAGGAGCUGGAGACACCCACAUUCUGUUUUCUCUCAGCUUUAAUUCAAACUCAUCGCCGGAGUUUGUGAGAGUCGCUUGUUUUGUAUGUGUUUUGUGUGAAGGACUGUCGUCGCCAUCAGCUCGUCAGCCGCCGACACACGUUUUCAUAACGACCAAAAAGAGAAUGACAAAACAUCCGCGAACGUCACAUCUUCCAUGAGGUGUGCAUCAUGCAAACACACAAAAACCGAACUCAAGCUGCCUGUCUUCAGAUUUUUGUAGCGCAGUUGAAAAGGCGAGAAAAUUCUGGAUGUUUCUUAAGGCAGCACUGACAUUUGCUACAGUUCUUGGGCUUGUUGACCUUAAUCACGUGGCCUGCAGCCUCAGCCAGGAUUCACAAAUGCGAAAUGUUUGUGAUCCACAACUCGGGCAAAAAGCCAGCCUCGUUUGAAGACUUCUUUUGCUCGCCAAGCUGCCGAACGGGAAGCAUGUCAUUUCCGUCGUUGCACGUGACUGGUGACGUACAGACGUGGUGUCUGAUGAUGAAAUGCGUGACGUUGAUGUUGUCCGCACGUCACUUACACAAGGAGGCUCGUGACGUCAUUCAGAUAAGGGGUCGUGCGCAACAGGACCAAACCAGUGACGUAGCACGCAGUUCAAAAUGCAAACAGGAAACGUGCAUGGCGGGAGUCGUGUUCACUGGCGACAGGUCUGUGUGGACAACACGAGACAGCUGAGGACCUCCAGCACGUGGACAAUCAUUCCACGGGAUCGUCACGUGCUCGUGUGUUUUACCAGGAGCAAUGAUGACCACACGGGGGCGACAGGAGCAGGCUGUCAUCAGCAAGAAGGCAACACCCUUCCCACCCAGCAGGCUAUAGUGGACACAAGGUGCACCCGGCACUGAAGUCGCACCUCACAUGAUUGACAGUCAACACCAGCAGCAAGGGUUACAACACCGCCACUCAUGGCCUGCACUCCCCGCGUCUUGAAAUAAUUAUUGUAGCGAGUAGCUGUAUACAGCAUAUUACUGUAUGAGUAGUCAGUGAUGUAUUAGUGUAUGUAUACUGUAGCCAGUGAUGUAUCAGUGUAUGUAUACUGUAGCCAGUGAUGUAUCAGUGUAUGUAUACUGUAGCCAGUGAUGUAUCAGUGUAUGUAUACUGUACCAGUGAUGUAUCAGUGUAUGUGUACUGU